rnacentral:rRNA from 1 species
GGCCUUGACAUACUAAGAACUUCCAGAGAUGGAUUGGUGCCUUCGGGAACUUAGAUACAGGUGCUGCAUGGCUGUCGUCAGCUCGUGUCGUGAGAUGGUUGGGUUAAGUCCCGCAACGAGCGCAACCUUUUCCUAUUUGCCAGCGGGUCAUGCCGGGAACUUUAAGGAUACUGCCAGUGACAAACUGGAGGAAGGCGGGGACGACGUCAAGUCAUCAUGGCCCUUACGGCCAGGGCUACACACGUGCUACAAUGGUCGGUACAAAGGGUUGCUACCUCGCGAGAGGAUGCUAAUCUCAAAAAGCCGAUCGUAGUCCGGAUCGCAGUCUGCAACUCGACUGCGUGAAGUCGGAAUCGCUAGUAAUCGCGGAUCAGAAUGCCGCGGUGAAUACGUUCCCGGGCCUUGUACACACCGCCCGUCACACCAUGGGAGUUUGUUGCACCAGAAGUAGGUAGUCUAACCGCAAGGAGGACGCUUACCACGGUGUGGCCGAUGACUGGGGUGAAGUCGUAACAAGGUAAGCGUAGAUGA